UGAAUGAAAUAAAUUUGCAAGGGCCCCUCUUCCUUCUUUGAUUAUUAUUAAUUAGUUUGUGUUAUGCAGUUAGGUUUUGAAAAAUUCACCAUAAAUUCCCUUCCCUUUUUAAUUCCCUUUUCCCUCUCCCCUCAUUUCUUCAUUCCUUUUUUUUCUUUUUCAAAUCACAAACCCUGUGCUGUAAAAUGAGCAAGAGAUCGAGAAGUAGCGAGGCAGAGGUGGAGUUGAGAGUGAACUUGAACCGGUCACCUACGGCUUCGUCUUCGUCUUCGUCGGUGAGCACGUUUGAUGGAUCAGGAUCGGGGUCGUCAGAGAUAUCAGUGGGGAAUUCGUGCUUGUCAUGUGAAGGAGAAGAGCAUGGUGGGAGAUUGGAAGAGAUUAUAACAAGAUCAAUGAUGUUGGUGGGAUGUCCAGGGUGUUUCAUGUAUGUGAUGCUGACAGAAAAGAGCUCUCAAUGCCCAAAAUGCAAGAACAACGUGUUUCUUGAUUUCUUCAAGCAACAACCACAUCAUGCCUAGUUACCCCAACAUAUCCAAAUUAUUAUUAGUUACUAUAAUUAAGUACUCUUUUUCUUCUCUCUUUCUUUCUUUCUUAUUUCUCAUCAAAUUUCUUAACUUUAAUUAGUCAAGUUGUUUUUCUUUUCUUUUCUUUUUGGCAUUUUGGUUGGUGUGAGAUCUUAUUAUAUAUAAAUUAAAAUGUCGUCGACCAUGAAACCUAGGAUGGAUUAUUAACUUUUUGUAUGAUGAAUUGGCUGAAAUUUUCACUUUAAUUUCUCUA